UGGGGAAUCUUGCACAAUGGGCGAAAGCCUGAUGCAGCGACGCCGCGUGCGGGACGAAGGCCUUCGGGUUGUAAACCGCUUUCAGCAGGGACGAGGCGAAAGUGACGGUACCUGCAGAAGAAGCCCCGGCUAACUACGUGCCAGCAGCCGCGGUAAUACGUAGGGGGCAAGCGUUAUCCGGAUUCAUUGGGCGUAAAGCGCUCGUAGGCGGUCUGUUAGGUCGGGAGUUAAAUCCGGAGGCUCAACCUCCGUUCGCUCCCGAUACCGGCAGACUUGAGUUUGGUAGGGGAAGGUGGAAUUCCUAGUGUAGCGGUGGAAUGCGCAGAUAUUAGGAAGAACACCAGUGGCGAAGGCGGCCUUCUGGGCCAUAACUGACGCUGAGGAGCGAAAGCUAGGGGAGCAAACAGGAUUAGAUACCCUGGUAGUCCUAGCUGUAAACGAUGGACACUAGGUGUGGGAGAAUACGUCUUCCGUGCCGCAGCUAACGCAUUAAGUGUCCCGCCUGGGGAGUACGGCCGCAAGGCUA
rnacentral:rRNA from 1 species